AACGAACGCUGGCGGCAUGCCUAACACAUGCAAGUCGAACGAGACCUUCGGGUCUAGUGGCGCACGGGUGCGUAACGCGUGGGAAUCUGCCCUUGGGUUCGGAAUAACACAGAGAAAUUUGUGCUAAUACCGGAUGAUGUCUUCGGACCAAAGAUUUAUCGCCCAGGGAUGAGCCCGCGUAAGAUUAGGUAGUUGGUGGGGUAAUGGCCUACCAAGCCGACGAUCUUUAGCUGGUCUGAGAGGAUGAUCAGCCACACUGGGACUGAGACACGGCCCAGACUCCUACGGGAGGCAGCAGUGGGGAAUAUUGGACAAUGGGCGCAAGCCUGAUCCAGCAAUGCCGCGUGAGUGAUGAAGGCCUUAGGGUUGUAAAGCUCUUUUACCCGGGAUGAUAAUGACAGUACCGGGAGAAUAAGCUCCGGCUAACUCCGUGCCAGCAGCCGCAGUAAUAC
rnacentral:rRNA from 1 species